UACGUAGGGUGCAAGCGUUUGUCCGGAAUUAUUGGGCGUAAAGAGCUCGUAGGCGGUCUGUCGCGUCUGCUGUGAAAACUCGGGGCUUAACCCCGGGCCUGCAGUGGGUACGGGCAGACUAGAGUGCGGUAGGGGAGACUGGAAUUCCUGGUGUAGCGGUGAAAUGCGCAGAUAUCAGGGGGAACACCGGUGGCGAAGGCGGGUCUCUGGGCCGUAACUGACGCUGAGGAGCGAAAGCGUGGGGAGCGAACAGG
rnacentral:rRNA from 1 species